GUGGAGGGAAGCUCAGUGCUGAGGCUACAGACAGAGUGUAGGGGUCACUCUAUGUGCCUCAGGGAAGGUCUGAGACUGGAGCUCCUAGUUGCCCCUGCAGGGCAUCCCUGGAUGAAGGGGGGGGUCCCCAGAGAACUUGGCUCUGAUUGCCCAGUGAGUGCAAAAGAUGCAGCAAGUACCCAAUGUUGUGCUUCUGCAGAUGCAAAGGCAUCGGCUUGGCACUGCCCCACAGCUGGCACAUUCAAGCUCAAUGGCUGAGAGGGAACUGCCUGUGGUUUCCCAACCCAAUUCAGACUACUCUCCCUCCAC
rnacentral:RNase_P_RNA from 1 species